rnacentral:lncRNA from 1 species
GGAGUCCCCUAGACUAGAUUGUCAGUGGGAUUAUAAAUUAAACAAAACAUGAAGCAUUUUAGACAAAAUCCUUAGUCUGCAUCAAAGAGUACUUGCUUGUCUCUAGUGAAAACAGGACCCCCCUGAACAGACUUCCAGUGUGAGCUGGUGAACCAGGGGCUUCUCCUCACCCAUACGUGGGUCACUUUGAGACAGGUCUUACUCUAUAGCUUGGUUGGUCUCAAACUCUCAGUCCCUCUGCCUCCACUUUCUGAUUUGUAGGAACACAACUGUGUGUCACAUGCCCUGCAUGCAGUAAUGCACUGUAAAACAAGCAACUUGUAAUGAUUGACUAAUAACUGUCUAGCUCAUGGCAGAGCACUUGGGCCGCUCUGAGUUAUUUCCGCAGUGGUGCUAGCUCAUGGGUAGGACUCAUGGUCUCACGUAGCCCUUCUUUUCCUGGCCUGUGGAUACGCUGCUUUCUCCUUACCAUCUUUUAAAAAACAUUAAAGUAUUGUAGGUUCAUUUUAGAAAACCUUGAUACAGGAAGAAAUGAAAAUAGCCUUGUGUUUUCUCUACCAAUAUAGGAAGACGUUGUUACAUAUUAAAAACAUUCUUAUUAAGGACAUAGGUCUUCAUUGUCGAUUUUGACACAGCCAAGGAGUCACAUAUCAGAUAUACUGCAUAUCAGAUAUUUACAUUAUGAUUCGUAACGGUAGCAAAGCAGUAGUUACAGUUAUGAAGUAACAAGGAAAUAAUCUUAUGGUUGAGGGUCAUCACGACGUGAACUGUAUUAAAGGUCCCAGCUUCAGGAAGGCAGAGCACCACUGGCCUAGAGUUGUCUGAGUGAGUCUCAAUUGGGGGAUUACUUAGAUCAGCUUGGCCUGUGGACAUGUCUGUGGGACAUUGUCUUAAUUGCUAAUUGUUGUAGAAUGGUCCAGCCUACUGUGAGCAGUCCACCCCUACUCAGAUCCUGAGAUGUGUAAGAAAUGUAACUGUGUGGAGGCCAGGCCAGGCAGUAAUCAUUGCUUCUCCAUGGUUUCUCCUUCAGCUCUCCUCGAGCUCCUGCUUAGACCUCUUCCAAUGAUGGAUUGUAACCUGAUUGUAAACCGUGAUUCUUUUUCUCCCCAAAUUGUUUGGUUAGAAUAUUUAAUUACAGUCACAAAAAGCAAACAAGAACAAUGAUGUAUAAAUGGCAGUCUAGACAUUAUAAUCAUUAAAAUAUAGGUUAUAUAGACAUAUUUGGGAUGUUUCUUAAAUAGUAUGCCCAACUUUUAGUUUCACUAAAUACACAUAUUUACUUUCUUAUAUUAUUUCUUUAUUUGAUUGUACAUUUGUGUGUGUGUGUGUGUGUGUGUGUGUGUGUGUGUGUAAGUGUAAGACAGAGCAUCCAGGUAUAGCCCAGGUUAGUCCUGAACUCCCAAUUCUCCUAAGUCUCUCAGGUACUGACGUUAACGGCAAAACCACUAUGCCAUGCUAGGGUUUUCCCCAUAGAAAUGUGUGUGGUUUUAUUUUGUACAUUUAUGUGUACAUGGCCUGGCACCAGAAGAAGCCAGAAGAGGGAGUCAGAUCCCCUAGGCCUGGGGUUACAGACAGCGUGAGCUGUCAUGUAGGUGCUGGGAACCAAACCUGGGUUCUCUGCUAGAUUAGAAAAUGAACUUAAACCCUGGGUCACCUCUCUGGCCUCCCUGCUAGUUUAUAAUCCAUUAUGUAGUUCCUUGUUAUAAACAAAGUUCUGCUCAUUAUCCACAAAUCCUUUUUAUGGCUUCUCAAUUAUUUAAGUACAUUUUUAGAAUCAGAUUUUUUAAGUUGUUUUUAAAGUUUUAGUGAAUUUUGGCCAGGUAAUCUCCAAAAAAGUUGGACCCAUCAGCAGUGACUUAAAAGUCCGUAUCAUUCCUAUUUUGAAAAUUAAGCCCUUAUGGCCAGCAAGAUCCUCAUUGGGUAAAAAUACUUGUCGCCAGCCUGCCUGAGUUGAGUCCCCAGCACCCAUGUGUUUGAAGGAGAAAAUCAACUUAAUAGAUUGUCACUGGACCAUACAUGUGCUCUUGUGCACACUAAGGUAUUUUGAAGUUAUUAGAUGAUCCUCUGAAGCAACUUGCCCUUUAGCAAACUUGGUCUGUGUUAGAAAGGAGUUAGGAGACACAAAGGUGUCUUUGGAGACACAGAGGUGUCCUAGCAGACUGAGUAGUAGGCUUUAGUUGACUGGAGAUAAAAAUCAUGUCCUCCGGAUCCGCACUAGUUGGGGUCUAAAACUGAGAGAGGCAGACACAACUCCCAUCCAUAAGAGCCAUCUCCAGGUGAGGACCACUUACUUGCUUUCUCUCCAGAGGACUCACCAGCAGUGACACAGCAGGCAUAACAAUGGUUCCUGGAGGCUUUUUUGUCUCAGUGCUUUUGUCAUCCCCCUCACCCCAUAAUAUACAGUCUUUCCUUAGAUGCUAAACUCCCUGGUUUUGUGUUUUUAGGAGAUUUCCGUGUGUGCCAAUGUGUGUGUCUCUGCAUCUGUGUGUGUCUGUGUGUUUCUUGGGCUUUUUCUUUGGCUCUUUGUUUUUCUGUCCCUUUGGGUUUUCCUAUUCGGGUUUGUCCUUUUUAAUCUUAUUUUUCUUUCUUUCUUUCACACACUUGUUUUCUCAUGAGAGGAAACAAGAAAGGAUGUCAAUUUGGGAAGGUGGGGAGGGCCAACCAUAAUCAGCAUAUUAUAUGAAAAAAUAUGUUUUCAGUUAAAAAAUUUUUGG